rnacentral:rRNA from 1 species
UCCUACGGGAGGCAGCAGUGGGGAAUAUUGCGCAAUGGGGGAAACCCUGACGCAGCGACGCCGCGUGAGCGAAGAAGGCCUUCGGGUUGUAAAGCUCUGUUGUAAGGGACGAAGGAGCUGGGUAGUAACUGACCUGGCGGUGACGGUACCUUACCAGCAAGCCCCGGCUAACUACGUGCCAGCAGCCGCGGUAAGACGUAGGGGGCGAGCGUUGUCCGGAAUUACUGGGCGUAAAGAGCACGUAGGCGGGUAUUUAAGUCAGGUGUGAAAGACCGCGGCCCAACUGCGGGGUUGCACUUGAAACUGAAUAUCUUGAGGGCAGGAGAGGUCAGUGGAAUUCCUGGUGUAGCGGUGAAAUGCGUAGAUAUCAGGAGGAACACCAGUGGCGAAGGCGACUGACUGGACUGACCCUGACGCUGAGGUGCGAAAGCGUGGGUAGCAAACAGGAUUAGAUACCCUGGUAGUCCACGCCGUAAACGAUGGAUACUAGGUGUGGGAGGUAUCGACCCCUUCCGUGCCGGAGCUAACGCAAUAAGUUCCCGC